UACAGGGGGUGCAAGCGUUAUUCGGAAUUAUUGGGCGUAAAGAGCGUGUAGGUGGUUCGUUAAGUCUGGUGUGAAAUCCCUGGGCUCAAUCCAGGAAGUGCAUUGGAUACUGGCGGACUAGAGUGCAGGAGAGGAGAGCGGAAUUCCAGGUGUAGAGGUGAAAUUCGUAGAUAUCAGGAAGAACACCCGUGGCGAAGGCGGCUCUCUGGGACGGUACUGACGCUGAGACGCGAAAGCGUGGGGAGCGAACAGG
rnacentral:rRNA from 1 species